rnacentral:rRNA from 1 species
GCCAGACUCCUACGGGAGGCAGCAGUAGGGAAUAUUGCUCAAUGGGGGAAACCCUGAUGCAGCGACGCCGCGUGAGUGAGGAAGUAUUUCGGUAUGUAAAGCUCUAUCAGCAGGGAAGAAAAUGACGGUACCUGACUAAGAAGCCCCGGCUAACUACGUGCCAGCAGCCGCGGUAAUACGUAGGGGGCAAGCGUUAUCCGGAUUUACUGGGUGUAAAGGGAGCGUAGGCGGCACGGCAAGCCUGAUGUGAAAGCCCGCGGCCCAACCGCGGGACUGCAUUGGGAACUACCGGGCUGGAGUGCGGGAGGGGCAGGCGGAAUUCCUGGUGUAGCGGUGAAAUGCGUAGAUAUCAGGAGGAACACCGGCGGCGAAGGCGGCCUGCUGGACCGCGACUGACGUUGAGGCUCGAAAGCGUGGGGAGCGAACAGGAUUAGAUACCCGAGUA